AUUGAACGCUGGCGGCAGGCCUAACACAUGCAAGUCGAGCGGAUGAAGGGAGCUUGCUCCUGGAUUCAGCGGCGGACGGGUGAGUAAUGCCUAGGAAUCUGCCUGGUAGUGGGGGAUAACGUCCGGAAACGGGCGCUAAUACCGCAUACGUCCUGAGGGAGAAAGUGGGGGAUCUUCGGACCUCACGCUAUCAGAUGAGCCUAGGUCGGAUUAGCUAGUUGGUGGGGUAAAGGCCUACCAAGGCGACGAUCCGUAACUGGUCUGAGAGGAUGAUCAGUCAAAAUUGAACUGAAGAACGGUCCAGAAUCCUACGGGAGGCAGGAGUGGGGAAUAUUUGACCAUUGGCGGAAGCCUGAUCCAGCCAUGCCGGGUGGGGGAAGAAAGGUCUUGGAUUUUAAAACCCUUUUAGGUGGGAGGAAGGGCAGUAAGUUAAUAACUUGGUUUUUUGAACUUUCCAAAAAGAUAAGGACCGGCUAACUUCGUG
rnacentral:rRNA from 1 species